AAAACGAAUUUUGAUUUCUUAUACAACUUUGCGCGGAUUCCAUCGUCAAACUUUUCUGCGCUUUUUCUAGCGUACACAAAUAUGCACACAUUACGGUCGGACGUUUUUCUUCGGGUCAACCGAAGGCGACGGAAGCGAUAGUAAUAAGUUUUGGCUUGAGUUUCCUCGCACACCUAUUUUAAUAGAAGUUUCGCGACGAUUGUCGGA